AUGGGACAUCCCUUGGGUAUGUUUUGAGGUGUGAAAUAAUAGGGACAAGGGCUCCAAUUGUUGGCACCUAAAGACUUGUAUUAGAAAACUUAAUGCAAGUAAGACUUGUAUUAUGAGAUUGAAUAGGAUUCAAUCCUCAUGUCUAUUUAAAGAGACCUCCCCUAAGGUCCCUAGUGCAUCCAACCAGCACCCCACAUGCCACAAAGGAGACCCUCCAUAUCCUUUCUUCCUCUCCUUUCUCCCCUCCCCUU
rnacentral:lncRNA from 1 species